GUCCUUCGGGAUGAGUAGAGUGGCGCACGGGUGAGUAACACGUGGGUAAUUUGCCUUCGAGUGGGGAAUACCAACCGGAAACGGUUGUUAAUACCGCAUAACACGUUUAUCGUAAAGGUAAUCGUCAAAGCAGGGGAUCGUAAGACCUUGUGCUUGAAGAGAAGCCCGCGGCAGAUUAGGUAGUUGGUAAGGUAAUGGCUUACCAAGCCUGCGAUCUGUAACCGACCUGAGAGGGUGGUCGGUCACACUGACACUGACAUACGGGUCAGACUCCUACGGGAGGCAGCAGUCGGGAAUUUUGGGCAAUGGGCGAAAGCCUGACCCAGCAACGCCGCGUGAAGGAUGAAGCAUUUCGGUGUGUAAACUUCGCAAGAACAGGAAGAAUAAGUGAAUGAUAACACCGUUCAUGAUGACGG
rnacentral:rRNA from 1 species